rnacentral:rRNA from 1 species
UACAGAGGUCUCAAGCGUUGUUCGGAUUCAUUGGGCGUAAAGGGUGCGUAGGUGGCGCUGUAAGUCGGGUGUGAAAUUUCGGAGCUUAACUCCGAAACUGCAUUCGAUACUGCGGUGCUUGAGGACUGGAGAGGAGACUGGAAUUCAUGGUGUAGCAGUGAAAUGCGUAGAGAUCAUGAGGAAGACCAGUGGCGAAGGCGGGUCUCUGGACAGUUCCUGACACUGAGGCACGAAGGCCAGGGGAGCAAACAGG